CUGACAGGACUAUGAAUCUCGUUGUGAUGGCGGUUGAAAUUGAUUGAUGGAACUGGAGCAGAGUCCUGUUUGGCCGACGGCAAGGGAAGAAUUGAGGUGAAACUGCCUGUGAGGUAAUCUCGCCCCGGGGAAGCACGGUCAGAACUUACUUCACGUGGACCAGAGUACGCGGAGAACAGAAGAGGAGCGGUCGCAGGUGCAAAGUAACCACGACGACGGACGGGAGUGACCAGCAGUUCAAGAGGAGGCGUCUGCAGCUGUCCCGUCCUUCCUUCAGUGUAUGUUCUUCUACGCAAAGCAGCGCCGCGCUAGAAGCCAAAUCUACAACCAGGAGCCAAGACGUCCCCUCCACAUAUUAUCCUGUUUGGCACCGGUACAAAAGCAGCUUAGGACGCAGCUUGGGAAUACGGAGAUAGAUAAACACGAGAAAAAAGGAUGAUGGAGCUGAGCCAAAUGGGUGGAGAAGAG
ensembl:lncRNA